rnacentral:rRNA from 1 species
CUGGCUCAGGACGAACGCUGGCGGCGUGCUUCAUACAUGCAAGUCGAACGAGAAGCUGACUUCGGUCAGUGGAAAGUGGCGGACGGGUGAGUAAUAUGUAGGAAAUCUGCCCUAGAGAGGGGGACAACAGAGGGAAACUUCUGCUAAUACCCCAUAUGAGCUUAGUUGAAAUACUAAUCUUGAAAACUCCGGUGCUCUAGGAUGAGCCUGCAUCUGAUUAGCUAGUUGGCGGUGUAAUGGACCCCAAGGCGACGAUCAGUAGCUGGUUUGAGAGGAUGAUCAGCCACAAUGGGACUGAGACACGGCCCAUACUCCUACGGGAGGCAGCAGUAGGGAAUUUUGCGCAAUGGGCGAAAGCCCUGACGCAGCAACGCCGCGUGAACGAUUAAGCCCUUCGGGGUGUAAAGUUCUGUCAGUAGGGACGAAACUUGACGGUACCUACAGAGGAAGCACCGGCUAACUCCGUGCCAGCAGCCGC